CCUUAAUUUUGCAAACUCGAUUGUGAGACUUUUCCUCUUCCUUAUCUUCGUUUGCUUUCGUUCUUACGAACAUUCGAUUCUCUCCCCACUCCUGAUUGCUCUUUAAUCAUGGAGUUAAUGGAAUCUCUUCGCUUUCUCCCUCUGAGUUCUAUGGAUCUUUUCGGUUUGAUAUAUCAAAACUGCCAGCUUCGACGAGAUGAUUGAGCAGUUACGUUCAAUGAAUAUCGGAGGAGGAGGGAUGAUAAGAGAUGCGAUGGAGACUGAGACGAGCGAGGACUAUGAGAAGUUUGGGGUUGGUUUGGAGAUUGGUAAGAGGAAGGUGAAGAAGAUGAUGUUCAACGCUGAAGAAGGUGGGCUUUUUUGGAUUAGUGGUAUGGGGGGCGUCGGUAAAACCACUCUUGCUAGAGACCUUGAACGUGACGAUGAAGUCCGAUGUAUAUGAUUGCUGUGGCAUGUAAUUUAGAGAAUUGGCCAGUUUGUAUUGGAAAGAUGUAUUUGCAGCCACAAGGGUCUGACGGACUCCAUUUACCCCACAUGGAAACCAGAGCUACAUAGAGGUCCUAAAGCUAAGUUGCUUAUUUCAUUGUCCCAAGUUUUUCAACUUUUCUCUGAUUAUAGUGUUAUGAAGUCCCUUUUUUGCCAUCUUUCAUCUCUCACUCCCUCUGUUUUCACAGCUUGCUCAACAAAAGGGAAAAUGCAGUUGUAAGUGUUGUAAAUAUAUUUCUGGUGGUAUAUUCAAGGUGCUUAUUCAUCUUGACCAUUAAUAAGUCUUCUCGGUCAGAAUCUCUAUUUCGAGUGGGAAAUAUUGAAUGGGGGUAUCAUUCUAAUGUCCCUUUGCUGAGCAAGAUGACGUGGAGGCUGCUCCAGCUCCUGGUUAUCAGAUCUGUCAGUUUCGACAACACAAAUUUAGAGCCCACGAUCUUGAAGUCUAUGGGAUUUUGUGGUAAAAUGGUUGUUGAGGAAUCUAUUCGCUUCAAAUCGAUGCAACCGGAGAGAAUGAUCUCGCUUUGAGCUACACAUUGUCGGGAUUGUUAGAUAAAUCUCAGUUUUUGAUCCGAGGAACCCCCAAACACGAAGCUGCUAUUAAGUUACAUAAUUUUUCAAAAGAUUUCGUACCGGGUAAAGCUCGCAGGCUGUGCAGUGCUUGUGGAGCAAAGCUGUUACAAUAGGUGUUAUUGUGUUGUCGUGUUAUUGUGCAGAUCUCAAAACUUCUGGUGUUAUUGUGUUGUCGUGAUCUUAUGUUGUAUGAUGUAUCCCCUUUGUUUCCAUCACAGGCAGAAACUCUUUGAUUAAGGUGGGAUCGAGAGCUUGGACAAGAGCAUAUAAGGUUGGUAGAGGUUUGUGACCUUUGACAUCGGUAUGGACAAAACCUUCCACUGCCAGAGACCCUUCUACUGGUUUGAUAUUGGCUAGGGGAAAGAAGUGAACCUUGUGGAGAAGUGUCUCGAUUGAAACUUCAGUAACAAUGCAUUAAGUACCUUGGUCUGGUUAGUAUCUAUUUGUUGUCAUGAUUAUGCUUUGUAUAUAUGGCAAGGCAAGCUUCUGAGGUUUUUGUGAAAAAACGGGAAAUUCUUCUACAAGAACAGUGGAGAAAUGCUUCAAACUUCUUCUAUGAAAGAUAGUGAUCCACAAGUAUUUUGGUGCUCAGCACAUCAAAAGUGUUAUAUGUUGGGAAGAAGGGUACGUUUUAACAUUCAAGCUUCUUAGCUGGAGGAGCUAUUGUUGCUGCAUGAAGAUUUGUUGUUUAUGAUGGUGUUGCUAUUUGGCCAUGGUUCCAUGCUUGGUAGCAAUUUUUAAUUUUAUUAUAUAAGAUCGUAUAAAAAUAGAUUGAAAUUUUCACCCUGUUGUGAGUAUUGUUAUUCGCAUUGAA